rnacentral:rRNA from 1 species
UACAGAGGGUGCGAGCGUUAAUCGGAAUUACUGGGCGUAAAGCGCGCGUAGACGGUUUUGUAAGUCAGAUGUGAAAUCCCUGGGCUCAACCUGGGAACUGCAUUUGAGACUGCAUGGCUAGAGUAUCGAAGAGGGAAGUGGAAUUUCCGGUGUAGCGGUGAAAUGCGUAGAUAUCGGAAGGAACACCUGUGGCGAAAGCGGCUCACUGGACCACAACUGACGCUGAUGCACGAAAGCUAGGGGAGCAAACAG